GUAGAGACAAGUUCUCACUAUUUUGCCCAGGCUGGUCUUCAACUUCCAGGCUCAAGUGAUCUUCCUGCCUUGGCCUCCCAAAAUGCUGGGAUUACAGGAACAGUUGGCCUUUUUGGAUGAAGGUGUGAUUACUGGAAAGGAGUACUGCCAGGUGAUAAAGUAAGAAGACAAAGAUGCAGACAAUCAAAAGCAGCCACAUCAGUCUGGUGAUGGGCAAGGGAACACGUGUCAAAGCCAGCUGACCUUUACAUACAUCACGGCUAACUAGAAAACCAUUUGGUGACUUGCUAGUUCCUCGAACUUCUGGGAAAGAGAAUGGUGUUAUAGGUGAGAGAAUGGGGUGAAAUCAGGGAGGUGUAAAAUAACAGGAUUUAUUGGAAGGAUAAGAUUUUCAAUGCAGUUGAAAUAGAGGAUUAAGGUGGGGGGGAAUGUGGCAACAGAAUUUUUGUCAUCACAAUAAACCAAAGGCAUAAUAAAGUACCUAAGAGAUGUUUUGCUCAAAAUUGUCCAAAAUGGCACAGCCAGAGCUCUCUCUUCUAGGAGUCUAUCAAGAAAAUGUGUACUGAUACAGAACAUAGUCAUAGCUGUGUGGAGGAGACAUAGCUAAAAUGCACAGAGAGCUUUACAUGUACCAUCAGAUUUAAUCUCCAUACAACCUGUUGUGUUGUAUCUACUAUUAUUUUCCCUACUUGAUUUAUGUGGAAACUAAAGCUUGGAAAGGGCAGGUAACUUCCCAGGGUAAAAGCUAACCCAGAAUUAGGGCCCAGGUCUUUUGAACUUCAGGGCCUAUGGUGAUGACCAAUAGGCGGUGCUGCUCCUCACUACACUAUUCUGUGAGUAUUGUAUCUGUGCCUCACUUCUAUACGCUAAACUGUAGCUAUCAAAGGCUAUUGGAUUUUUUAAAAAUUCAGACAUUCAUAGAUUUAAAAAAAUCUUUCCAUCAUUAUUAACUAAGAGUUGACCAUAUGCUUAGUACUGGGGUAGGUUGUUUGCUUUAAUUAAAGAUGCAGGCAUUAAUCAAACAUUUCCAUAUGAGUGUGUUGGCUAAGUUUGGUAUUCUAGUGUGAAAUGCAAAGUCUGUGAUAUUUAAACAUAAUUACAGAAUCAAAAUUGUGUGUAUUCAGAUGAAAUUUUUCCAUUGGUAUUAAUACAUUGGAUACAAGUGUAAUUUUGUUACAUUGAUGUCUAUAGUGGUGAAGUCAGGGCUUUUAGUGUAUCCAUCACUAGAGUAACUACAUUGUACCCAUGUGUGUAUUAUCAUUGUCCUAUUUUCAAAGCAGAGCAAUUGCUUUUCAGAAUUAAGUUUACACAGACAAGGAUUUUUCCAAAUUGAUAAUUAAAUGUCCUUGCUGUAGUCAGGGUCCUAACUUCAGUCAUGGG
rnacentral:lncRNA from 10 species